AACGAACGCUGGCGGCAUGCCUAACACAUGCAAGUCGAACGAGACCUUCGGGUCUAGUGGCGCACGGGUGCGUAACGCGUGGGAACCUGCACUUAGGUUCGGAAUAACUCCCCGAAAGGGGUGCGAAUACCGGAGAAUGUCUUCGGCCCAAAGAUUUAUCGCCAUAGGAUGGGCCCGCGUUGGAUUCGCUAGUUGGUGGGGUAAAGGCCUACCAAGGCGACGAUGCAUAGCUGGUCUGAGAGGAUGAUCAGCCACACUGGGACGGAGAGACGGCCCACACUCCUGCGGGAGGCAGCAGUCGGGAAUUCUGGAGGAUGGGCGAAGGCGUGAUUCAGCAAUGCGGGGUGAGUGCAGAAGGCCUUCGGGCCGUAGAGCAAUUUUGUCCGGAAAGAUAUAAUUGCCUCUUAUCCAGGCGGGGGAUGACGGUACCGGAAGAAUAAGCCCCGGCUAACUACGUG
rnacentral:rRNA from 1 species